GUCGUUGUAGUAUAGUGGUGAGUAUUCCCGCCUGUCACGCGGGUGACCCGGGUCCGAUUCCCGGCAACGGCG
rfam:Picea glauca, whole genome shotgun sequence.